rnacentral:rRNA from 1 species
CUGGUUGAUCCUGCCAGUAGUCAUAUGCUUGUUUCAAAGAUUAAGCCAUGCAUGUGUCAGAAUAUGUCUGUAUAGACGAAUCUGCGGACGGCUCAUUACAACAGUAAUCACAUAUUUGACGUUUAAUUAUACGGAUAACCGUGGGAAACCAAGGCUAAUACGGGUGAAAACCGAGGCUUUACGGUCGCGCGGUAUUUCCUGCUUUUAAACUUAACGCUCUCUGAGUGUGCGAGGAAUCGCAGGAACUUUUCGAGUCGAAUAAUCGAUGCGUCAUUUUGGUUUCUGACCUAUCAGCUAUCGACGGUAGGACAUUGGCCUACCGUGGCUUUGACGGGUAACGGGGAAUUAGGGUUUGAUUCCGGAGAGGGAGCCUGAGAAAUGGCUACCACGUCUAAGGAUGGCAGCAGGCGCGCAAAUUACCCAAUCCUGACACAGGGAGGUAGUGACAAAAAAUAGCAACUCAAAGCAUUCGCUUUGCUGAUUGCAAUGGGAUUCGGAUAAAUCUCGUUUCGAGAAUCAAUUGGAGGGCAAGUCUGGU